rnacentral:rRNA from 1 species
AACGAACGCUGGCGGCAGGCUUAACACAUGCAAGUCGAACGCGAAAUCACCUUCGGGUGGUGGAGAGUGGCAGACGGUGAGUAACGCGUGGGAAUCUACCUGAUGGUACGGAAUAACUCAGGGAAACUUGAGCUAAUACCGUAUGUGCCCGAGAGGGGAAAGAUUUAUCGCCAUCAGAUGAGCCCGCGUCGGAUUAGCUAGUUGGUGGGGUAAAAGCCCACCAAGGCGACGAUCCGUAGCUGGUCUGAGAGGAUGAUCAGCCACACUGGGACUGAGACACGGCCCAGACUCCUACGGGAGCAGCAGUGGGGAAUAUUGGACAAUGGGCGCAAGCCUGAUCCAGCCAUGCCGCGUGAGUGAUGAAGGCCCUAGGGUUGUAAAGCUCUUUCGACGGGGACGAUAAUGACGGUACCCGUAGAAGAAGCCCCGGCUAACUUCGUGCCAGCAGCCGCGGUAAU